CCCUUAGAUGUUCUGGGCCGCACGCGCGCUACACUGACGGAUUCAACGAGCCUACAACCUUGGCCGAAAGGUCUGGGUAAUCUCCAAAAUCCGUCGUGAUGGGGAUAGAUUAUUGCAAUUAUUAAUCUUCAACGAGGAAUGCCUAGUAAGCGCAAGUCAUCAGCUUGCGUUGAUUACGUCCCUGCCCUUUGUACACACCGCCCGUCGCUCCUACCGAUUGAAUGGUCCGGUGAAGCGUUUGGACUAUGGUUUUCUGAUGGUCCGCCGUUGGAUUACCGUGGGAAGUUCGUUAAACCUUAUCAUUUAGAGGAAGGAGAAGUCGUAACA
rnacentral:rRNA from 1 species